CCUACGGGUGGCAGCAGUGGGGAAUAUUGGGCAAUGGGCGCAAGCCUGACCCAGCAACGCCGCGUGAAGGAAGAAGGCCCUCGGGUUAUAAACUUCUUUUAUCAAGGACGAAACAAAUGACGGUACUGGAUGAAUAAGCCACGGCUAACUACGGGCCAGCAGCCGCGGUAAGACGUAGGUGGCAAGCGUGAUCCGGAUUUACGGGGUGUAAAGGGCGUGGAGGCGGGACUGCAGGUCAGCGGUAAAAAUUCGGGGCUCAACCCCGUCGUGCCGUUGAAACUGAUGUUCUUGAGUGGGCGAGACGUAUGCGGAAUGCGUGGUGUAGCGGUGACCUGCAUAGCUAUCACGCAGAACUCCGAUUGCGCAGGCAGCAUACCGGCGCCCACCUGACGCUGCCGCACGACAGCGUGGGUAUCGAACAGGAUUAGAUACCCCAGUAGUC
rnacentral:rRNA from 1 species